rnacentral:SRP_RNA from 2 species
GCUGGGCAUGGUGGUGCAUGCCUGUAAUCCCAGCUACUUGAGAGGCUGAGGUGGGAGAAUUGCUUGAACCCAGGGUGGACGGAGGUUACAGUGAGCCGAGAUCAUGACACUGCACUCUAGCCUGGGCAAUAAAGUGAGACUCCACCUCAA